CCCCAGCACUUUCUCCCUGCAAAAAGAAGAUAUUGAUGUUUUGAGACAGACUAAAAAUCUCAUUUGCCUGCUUCCCCCUCUAAAAAAAAACACAGACUGGCAUUGUAUGGUGGGGAUGAAGUCUAUGCAGCCUUUGGGGAGACCUGGCAGCAGCUUCUCUGUUGUGUCCUUGGAGGAGUUCCAGUGCACUGCAAUUGGACAACAGCAACCAAAUGUUGCUCCCAAUCCAGCCCCAGUGGCUCCCAGCUGCCCUGGCCUGCUUUCUCAUCUGAGACAAGGUUUCACCAUGUUGCUCAAGGCUGGUCUGGAAUUCAUGGGCACAAGUGAUCCACCUGCCUCGUCCUGCCAAAGUGCUGGGAUUACAGGCAUGAGGCACUGCAUCCUGCUGAGAUCUAUCUCUUAAAUAAUGGGACUUGAAAGUCGAAAUUACUCUUGAUCCAUAGGCUGCAGAAUGAAAGUUGUGUAAGCAGGCAUGAAAACAUUAAUCUCCUUGUACAUCUCCAUGAGAGAUCUCGGGUGAAUAAGCACAUUGUCAUUGAGCACUAAUAUUUCUAAAGGAAUCUUUUGUUCUGAGCAGCAGGUCUCAAUGGUGGGCUUAAAAUAUUCAGUAAACUAUGCUGUAAACAGGUGUUCUGUCAUCCAGGCUUUGUUAUUCCAUUUAUAAAGCAUAGGAUGAGGAGAUUUAGCAUAAUUCUUAAGGGCCCUACGAUUUUCAGAAUGGUAAAUAAGCAUUGACUUCAACUUCAAGUCACCAGCUGCAUUAGCCCCUAGCAAGUCAGCUUGUCCUUUUAAGCUUUGAAGCCAGAUAUUGACUUCUCCUCUCUAGCUAUGAAAGUCCUAGAUGGAAUCUUCUUCCAAUACAAUGUUGUUUUGUCUAUACUGAAAAUCUGUUGUUGAGUGUAACCACCUUCAUUGAUAAUCUUUGCUAGAUCUUUUGGAUAACUUGCUACAGCUUCUACAUCAGCACUUGCUGCUUCAUCUUGCACUCUUAUGAUACAGAAAUGGCUUCUUUCCUUCAAUCUCAUGAACCAACAUCUGUUAGUGUCAAACUUUUCCUCUGCAGCUUCCUCUUCUCUCUUAGCCUUCAUAGAAUUGAAGAGAGUUAGGGCCUUGCUCUGGAUUAGGCUUUGACUUCAGGAAUAGUGUGGCUGGUUUGAGCAUCUAUCCAGAUUACUCAAACUUUCUCCAUAUCAGAAAUAAAGUUGUUUUGCUUUUGUAUCAUUUGUGUGUUCACUGGAGUAGCACUUUUAAUUUCCUCCAAUAACUUUUUCUUUGCAUUCACAAUUUGGCUGCAAGAAGCCUAACUUUCAACCUAACUUGGCUUUAGACAUGCCUUCCUCACUAAGCUUAAUGAUUUAUAGGUUUGUUUGUUUUUUGUUUGUUUGUUUUUUUAAGAUGGAGUCUACUGUGGCUCAAGCUGGAGUGCAGCGGUGCGAUUUCGGCUCACUGCAACCUCUGCCUCCUUGGUUCAAGCUGUUCUCCUGCCUCAGCCUCCUGAGUAGCUGGGAUUACAAGCAUGCACCACCAUGCCAGGCUAAUGUUUGUAUUCUUAGUAGAGACGGGGUUUCACCAUGUUGGUCAGGCUGGUCUUGAACUCCUGACCUCAAGAGAUCUGCCCACCUCGGCCUCCCAAAGUGCUGAGAUUACAGGCGUGAGCCACCAUGCCCAGCCCACUUCUAGCUCUUGAUUUAAAGUAAGAGACAUGCAACUCUUCCUUUCACUUGAACACUUAGAAGCUGUUGUAGAGUUAUUAAUUGGCCUUAUUUCAGUAUUGUUGUUUCUUAGGGAAUCGGGAGGCCUGAGGAGAGAGAUGGACAGCUGUUCAGUGGAGCAGUCAGACACGUACAAUAUUUACUGAUUGAGUUCUCAAUUUAAUAUGGGUAGUUCAUGGUGUCCAAAACAAUUACAAUAGUAACAUCCAAGAUCACUGAUCACAGAUCACCAUAACAGAUAUAAUAAUAACAACAAUUAAAAUAUUGCAAGAAUUACCAAAAUGUGACACAGAGACCACGAAGUAAGCACAUGCUGUUGGAAAAAUGGCACCAAUAGACUUGCUUGACACAGAGUUGCCACAAAACUUCACUUUGUGAAAAGUGCAAUAUCUGCAAAGCACACUACGGCGAGGUAUGCCUGUAGCAUGUCAGCUGGUGAUAAGUGCUGUGGAGAACAGGAAAGUCGGGUGAGAGGAAAAGGGGCUGUUUGGGGCUAGAGGUGAUCUUAUAUAUGCCAGUUAGGCUGAUAACGUGCUGACUACUGACACUGACAUCUGAAUGGAGACUUGAAGGAAAUGAGGGAAGGAGCCAUGAAAAUAUCUGAUGGGAAGAGAAUUCUAAGGAGAGGGAACAUCAAGUGAAAAGACUCCACUGCAGGGAGUAUUUGGCAUGUUAAAGGAAUAGCUAGGAGGCCAGUAGGGUUGGAGCAGCAGGAGGUGGGAAAUUGUAGAUGAGGUCAGAGAGAUUGUGGGUCCUGGACCUGCAGGACAGCAUUAGGCUCAGGGGAGACAGAGGCCCACUGGAGGGCAUGGAGCAAGGCAAUGAUAGAAUCUGACUUUUAAAGAAUCCUCCCAGCUGCUGUUGUGGAAAACAUCUUGGGGCUAUGCCAUGGAACAUGAUGGAAAUCUACUUCAUUCUUGGAAGGUCUUGUAUAUGACUCAGUUGCCCUCAUUUUUUAGGUGGGUUUUUAUGCUUCUCCCCAGACAGAUUUCCAUCUAUUUGUUUCCUUUCCAAUCAUCAGAUUCUUUAAAAUGCAAAAUCUGAUUUUGUCAUCCUCCCUUUGCAACCCCUAACUUCUUUAAAAACAAAAAAAAACAAAAAACAGGUUCUCACUCUGUUGCCCAUGGUGGAGUACAAUGGCACCAUCUCAGCUCACUGCAACCGCCACCUCCUGGGUUCAAGCAAUUCUCCUGCCUCAGCCUCUCGAGUAGAUGGGACUACAGGCAAAUGCCACCACACUUGGCCAAUGUUUGUAUUUUUGUAGAGACGGGGUUUCGCCAUGUCAGCCAGUCUGGUCUUGAACCCCUGGCCUCAAGUGAUUCGCCCGCCUCAGCCUCCCAAAGUUUUGGGAUUACAGGUAAGAGCCACCCAGCCAUUGAUCCAUUUUCUAUAUUUAAAAUCAGAGAGGCUUCCUCCCCCUUUUAAAAUUAGGCAUAUAGAGAAUCUAUCUUUAGUAGAUUAAUGAUCCAUUAUCUUAACAGCUGGUAUGAGUGUUUACUAUAUGGUAUUCCCUGUUUAAGGUAUUUUGAAUGUUUAUAAUAUUACAUUUAUAUAUUAUUUGAUACUAGAACAACUAUAUAUAAUAUGUCUUUUUGUUGUGGUGGUGAUUGUUUUUUUGUUUUUGAAACAGAGUCUCAGCUGGGUGCAGUGGCUCAAACCUGUAAUUCCAGCACUUUGGGAGGCCGAGGCAGGUGGAUCACCUGAGGUCAGGAGUUUGAGACUAGCCUGGCCAACAUAAUGAAACCCUGUCUCCACUAAAAAUACAAAAAUUAGCUGAGUGUGAUCGCGGGCACCUGUAAUCUCAGCCACUCAGGAGGCUGAGGCAGAAGAAUUGCUUGAACCCGGGAACCAGAGGUUGCAGUGAGCCAAGUUCAUGCCACUGCACUGCACCCUGGGUGAUAGAGAGAGACUCUGUCUCAAAAAACAAACAAACAAACAAACAAACGAAACAGGGUCUCGCUUUGUCACCUAGGUGGGAGUGCAGUGACACCAUCUCGGCUCACUACAACCUC
rnacentral:lncRNA from 1 species